GGCGCCCAACCUCCCACCCGUGACUACCUAACACUGUUGCUUCGGCGGGGAGCCCCCUAGGGGCGAGCCGCCGGGGACCACUGAACUUCAUGCCUGAGAGUGAUGCAGUCUGAGCCUGAAUACAAAUCAGUCAAAACUUUCAACAAUGGAUCUCUUGGUUCCGGCAUCGAUGAAGAACGCAGCGAACUGCGAUAAGUAAUGUGAAUUGCAGAAUUCAGUGAAUCAUCGAGUCUUUGAACGCACAUUGCGCCCCCUGGCAUUCCGGGGGGCAUGCCUGUCCGAGCGUCAUUGCUGCCCUCAAGCCCGGCUUGUGUGUUGGGUCGUCGUCCCCCCCCGGGGGACGGGCCCGAAAGGCAGCGGCGGCACCGUGUCCGGUCCUCGAGCGUAUGGGGCUUUGUCACCCGCUCGAUUAGGGCCGGCCGGGCGCCAGCCGGCGUCUCCAACCUUAUUUUUCUCAGGUUGACCUCGGAUCAGGUAGGGAUA
rnacentral:misc_RNA from 1 species